rnacentral:rRNA from 1 species
UAGGGAAUCUUCGGCAAUGGGGGGAACCCUGACCGAGCAACGCCGCGUGAGUGAAGAAGGUUUUCGGAUCGUAAAGCUCUGUUGUUAAGGAAGAACGAGUGUGAGAAUGGAAAGUUCAUACUGUGACGGUACUUAACCAGAAAGGGACGGCUAACUACGUGCCAGCAGCCGCGGUAAUACGUAGGUCCCGAGCGUUGUCCGGAUUUAUUGGGCGUAAAGCGAGCGCAGGCGGUUAGAUAAGUCUGAAGUUAAAGGCAGUGGCUCAACCAUUGUAGGCUUUGGAAACUGUUUAGCUUGAGUGCAGAAGGGGCGAGUGGAAUUCCAUGUGUAGCGGUGAAAUGCGUAGAUAUAUGGAGGAACACCGGUGACGAAAGCAGCUCUCUGGUCUGUAACUGACGCUGAGGCUCGAAAGCGUGGGGAGCGAACAGG